rnacentral:rRNA from 1 species
CCUACGGGAGGCAGCAGUAGGGAAUCUUUCACAAUGGGCGAAAGCCUGAUGGAGCAACGCCGCGUGCAGGAUGAAGGCCUUCGGGUUGUAAACUGCUUUUAUAAGCGAGAAAUAUGAUGGUAACUUAUGAAUAAGGAUCGGCUCACUACGUGCCAGCAGCCGCGGUCAUACGUAGGAUCCGAGCAUUAUCCGGAGUGACUGGGUGUAAAGAGUUGCGUAGGUGGCAUAAUAAGUAGCUAGUGAAAUCUGGUGGCUCAACCAUUCAGACUAUUAGCUAAACUGUUAAGCUCGAGACCGUUAGGGGUAACUGGAAUUUCUAGUGUAGGAGUGAAAUCCGUAGAUAUUAGAAGGAACACCAAUAGCGUAGGCAGGUUGCUGGGACGGUUCUGACACUAAGGCACGAAAGCGUAGGGAGCAAACGGGAUUAGAUACCCGAGUAGUC